UACGAAGGGGGCUGGCGUUGCUCGGAAUCACUGGGCGUAAAGGGUGCGUAGGCGGGGCUUUAAGUCAGGGGUGAAAUCCUGGAGCUCAACUCCAGAACUGCCUUUGAUACUGAAGAUCUUGAGUUCGGGAGAGGUGAGUGGAACUGCGAGUGUAGAGGUGAAAUUCGUAGAUAUUCGCAAGAACACCAGUGGCGAAGGCGGCUCACUGGCCCGAUACUGACGCUGAGGCACGAAAGCGUGGGGAGCAAACAGG
rnacentral:rRNA from 1 species